rnacentral:rRNA from 1 species
AUACAUGCAAGUCGAGCGGACAGAUGGGAGCUUGCUCCCUGAUGUUACGGCGGACGGGUGAGUAACACGUGGGUAACCUGCCUGUAAGACUGGGAUAACUCCGGGAAACCGGGGCUAAACGGAUGCUUGUUUGAACCGCAUGGUUCAAACAUAAAAGGUGGCUUCGGCUACCACUUACAGAUGGACCCGCGGCGCAUUAGCUAGUUGGUGAGGUAAUGGCUCACCAAGGCACGAUGCGUAGCCGACCUGAGAGGGUGAUCGGCCACACUGGGACUGAGACACGGCCCAGACUCCUACGGGAGGCAGCAGUAGGGAAUCUUCCGCAAUGGACGAAAGUCUGACGGAGCAACGCCGCGUGAGUGAUGAAGGUUUUCGGAUCGUAAAGCUCUGUUGUUAGGGAAGAACAAGUACCGUUCGAAUAGGGCGGUACCUUGACGGUACCUAACCAGAAAGCCACGGCUAACUACGUGCCAGCAGCCGCGGUAAUACGUAGGUGGCAAGCGUUGUCCGGAAUUAUUGGGCGUAAAGGGCUCGCAGGCGGUUUCUUAAGUCUGAUGUGAAAGCCCCCGGCUCAACCGGGGAGGGUCAUUGGAAACUGGGGAACUUGAGUGCAGAAGAGGAGAGUGGAAUUCCACGUGUAGCGGUGAAAUGCGUAGAGAUGUGGAGGAACACCAGUGGCGAAGGCGACUCUCUGGUCUGUAACUGACGCUGAGGAGCGAAAGCGUGGGGAGCGAACAGGAUUAGAUACCCUGGUAGUCCACGCCGUAAACGAUGAGUGCUAAGUGUUAGGGGGUUUCCGCCCCUUAGUGCUGCAGCUAACGCAUUAAGCACUCCGCCUGGGGGAGUACGGCGCAAGACUGAACUCAAAGGAAUUGACGGGGGCCCGCACAGGGGGACAUGUGGUUAAUUCGAAGCAACGCGAAGAACCUUACCAGGUCUUGACAUCCUCUGACAAUCCUAGAGAUAGGACGUCCCCUUCGGGGGCAGAGUGACAGGUGGUGCAUGGUUGUCGUCAGCUCGUGUCGUGAGAUGUUGGGUUAAGUCCCGCAACGAGCGCAACCCUUGAUCUUAGUUGCCAGCAUUCAGUUGGGCACUCUAAGGUGACUGCCGGUGACAAACCGGAGGAAGGUGGGGAUGACGUCAAAUCAUCAUGCCCCUUAUGACCUGGGCUACACACGUGCUACAAUGGACAGAACAAAGGGCAGCGAAACCGCGAGGUUAAGCCAAUCCCACAAAUCUGUUCUCAGUUCGGAUCGCAGUCUGCAACUCGACUGCGUGAAGCUGGAAUCGCUAGUAAUCGCGGAUCAGCAUGCCGCGGUGAAUACGUUCCCGGGCCUUGUACACACCGCCCGUCACACCACGAGAGUUUGUAACACCCGAAGUCGGUGAGGUAACCUUUAGGAGCCAGCCGCCGAAGG